UUUUCGGGUUUUCUGUUUUCAGCAAUUUUUAUUGAUUCUUAGCUGUAGGUUUUCAUUUGUUUGCCUUUAUUCUUCCUUUACGUUAUCUAACACCUUCUUGUUUCUUGUGUUAGUAGGAUUUAAACGUGUGCACAACUUCUUCCUCGGUGCAACACGAAUCAAUUAGUGUCUCGUCAGUUUUUGGCAUCCUAGUGCAAAUUAGGAUUCUUUGGUAGAUCGGUUCAU
rnacentral:lncRNA from 1 species